UUAAGCGACUAAGCGUACACGGUGGAUGCCCUGGCAGUCAGAGGCGAUGAAGGACGUGCUAAUCUGCGAAAAGCGUCGGUAAGGUGAUAUGAACCGUUAUAACCGGCGAUGUCCGAAUGGGGAAACCCAGUGCAAUUCGUUGCACUAUCGUUAACUGAAUACAUAGGUUAACGAGGCGAACCGGGGGAACUGAAACAUCUAAGUACCCCGAGGAAAAGAAAUCAACCGAGAUUCCCCCAGUAGCGGCGAGCGAACGGGGAGCAGCCCAGAGUCUGAAUCAGCUUGUGUGUUAGUGGAACGGUCUGGAAAGUCCGACGGUACAGGGUGAUAGUCCCGUACACCAAAAUGCACAGGUUGUGAACUCGAAGAGUAGGGCGGGACACGUGGUAUCCUGUCUGAAUAUGGGGGGACCAUCCUCCAAGGCUAAAUACUCCUGACUGACCGAUAGUGAACCAGUACCGUGAGGGAAAGGCGAAAAGAACCCCGGCGAGGGGAGUGAAAAAGAACCUGAAACCGUGUACGUACAAGCAGUGGGAGCACCUUCGGGUGUGACUGCGUACCUUUUGUAUAAUGGGUCAGCGACUUAUAUUCUGUAGCAAGGUUAACCGUAUAGGGGAGCCGCAGGGAAACCGAGUCUUAACUGGGCGUUAAGUUGCAGGGUAUAGACCCGAAACCCGGUGAUCUAGCCAUGGGCAGGUUGAAGGUUGGGUAACACUAACUGGAGGACCGAACCGACUAAUGUUGAAAAAUUAGCGGAUGACUUGUGGCUGGGGGUGAAAGGCCAAUCAAACCGGGAGAUAGCUGGUUCUCCCCGAAAGCUAUUUAGGUAGCGCCUCGUGAAUUCAUCUUCGGGGGUAGAGCACUGUUUCGGCUAGGGGGUCAUCCCGACUUACCAACCCGAUGCAAACUACGAAUACCGAAGAAUGUUAUCACGGGAGACACACGGCGGGUGCUAACGUCCGUCGUGAAGAGGGAAACAACCCAGACCGCCAGCUAAGGUCCCAAAGUCAUGGUUAAGUGGGAAACGAUGUGGGAAGGCACAGACAGCCAGGAUGUUGGCUUAGAAGCAGCCAUCAUUUAAAGAAAGCGUAAUAGCUCACUGGUCGAGUCGGCCUGCGCGGAAGAUGUAACGGGGCUAAACCAUGCACCGAAGCUGCGGCAGCGACACUAUGUGUUGUUGGGUAGGGGAGCGUUCUGUAAGCCUGCGAAGGUGACCUGUGAGGGUUGCUGGAGGUAUCAGAAGUGCGAAUGCUGACAUAAGUAACGAUAAAGCGGGUGAAAAGCCCGCUCGCCGGAAGACCAAGGGUUCCUGUCCAACGUUAAUCGGGGCAGGGUGAGUCGACCCCUAAGGCGAGGCCGAAAGGCGUAGUCGAUGGGAAACAGGUUAAUAUUCCUGUACUUGGUGUUACUGCGAAGGGGGGACGGAGAAGGCUAUGUUAGCCGGGCGACGGUUGUCCCGGUUUAAGCAUGUAGGCUGGUUGUCCAGGCAAAUCCGGAUAAUCAAGGCUGAGGUGUGAUGACGAGGCACUACGGUGCUGAAGUAACAAAUGCCCUGCUUCCAGGAAAAGCCUCUAAGCAUCAGGUAACAUUAAAUCGUACCCCAAACCGACACAGGUGGUCAGGUAGAGAAUACCAAGGCGCUUGAGAGAACUCGGGUGAAGGAACUAGGCAAAAUGGUGCCGUAACUUCGGGAGAAGGCACGCUGGUGUGUAGGUGAAGUCCCUGCGGAUGGAGCUGAGACCAGUCGAAGAUACCAGCUGGCUGCAACUGUUUAUUAAAAACACAGCACUGUGCAAACACGAAAGUGGACGUAUACGGUGUGACGCCUGCCCGGUGCCGGAAGGUUAAUUGAUGGGGUUAUCCGUAAGGAGAAGCUCUUGAUCGAAGCCCCGGUAAACGGCGGCCGUAACUAUAACGGUCCUAAGGUAGCGAAAUUCCUUGUCGGGUAAGUUCCGACCUGCACGAAUGGCGUAAUGAUGGCCAGGCUGUCUCCACCCGAGACUCAGUGAAAUUGAACUCGCUGUGAAGAUGCAGUGUACCCGCGGCAAGACGGAAAGACCCCGUGAACCUUUACUAUAGCUUGACACUGAACAUUGAGCCUUGAUGUGUAGGAUAGGUGGGAGGCUUUGAAGCGUGGACGCCAGUCUGCGUGGAGCCAACCUUGAAAUACCACCCUUUAAUGUUUGAUGUUCUAACGUUGGCCCCUUACCGGGGUUGCGGACAGUGUCUGGUGGGUAGUUUGACUGGGGCGGUCUCCUCCCAAAGCGUAACGGAGGAGCACGAAGGUUAGCUAAUCCUGGUCGGACAUCAGGAGGUUAGUGCAAUGGCAUAAGCUAGCUUGACUGCGAGCGUGACGGCGCGAGCAGGUGCGAAAGCAGGUCAUAGUGAUCCGGUGGUUCUGAAUGGAAGGGCCAUCGCUCAACGGAUAAAAGGUACUCCGGGGAUAACAGGCUGAUACCGCCCAAGAGUUCAUAUCGACGGCGGUGUUUGGCACCUCGAUGUCGGCUCAUCACAUCCUGGGGCUGAAGUAGGUCCCAAGGGUAUGGCUGUUCGCCAUUUAAAGUGGUACGCGAGCUGGGUUUAGAACGUCGUGAGACAGUUCGGUCCCUAUCUGCCGUGGGCGCUGGAGAAUUGAGGGGGGCUGCUCCUAGUACGAGAGGACCGGAGUGGACGCAUCACUGGUGUUCGGGUUGUCAUGCCAAUGGCACUGCCCGGUAGCUAAAUGCGGAAGAGAUAAGUGCUGAAAGCAUCUAAGCACGAAACUUGCCCCGAGAUGAGUUCUCCCUGAGACUUUAAGUCUCCUGAAGGAACGUUGAAGACGACGACGUUGAUAGGCCGGGUGUGUAAGCGCAGCGAUGCGUUGAGCUAACCGGUACUAAUGAACCGUGAGGCUUAACCUU
rnacentral:rRNA from 2 species